CCCCUUCUCCUGCGGGGACGGAUCGCCUAUAUUCCAUCCUGCCAGCGACGGUUGGCUAUGGCGAUAAACGAAGUGCGGAAUAAGCCUUUCGGACCCGGGGGCGGUACCCGGCGCCUCCACCCAAGCGGCCUGCUCCUUCCUUGCGGGGAGCCGGCCGUUUCGGCGGGGGCGAAAUAGGAUCGACGAGGGUGUAAAGGCAUUUUUUUCGCUCGGCAUGGUUCCGCCGAUAUCGGGCCACCUUUGUAGUUGCGAAUGACAACUAUGCCGAGGCACGUCUCGCUGCGUAAGCGGCGCGACACCUCAAAUUAAGUCCUCCUACCGCAAGUAGGAGGCGGGGUCGGGAGGCACCUGGCAACAGAAGCCCCCACU
rnacentral:tmRNA from 1 species